rnacentral:rRNA from 2 species
UACGUAGGUGGCAAGCGUUGUCCGGAUUUAUUGGGUUUAAAGGGUGCGUAGGCGGCUUUGUAAGUCAGUGGUGAAAUAUGGCAGCUUAACUGUCAAGGUGCCAUUGAUACUGCAGAGCUUGAGUACAGAUGAGGUAGGCGGAAUUGACGGUGUAGCGGUGAAAUGCUUAGAUAUCGUCAAGAACACCUAUAGCGAAGGCAGCUUACUAAGCUGUAACUGACGCUGAGGCACGAAAGUGUGGGGAUCAAACAGG